GAUGAAGAACGCAGCGAAAUGCGAUAAGUAAUGUGAAUUGCAGAAUUCAGUGAAUCAUCGAAUCUUUGAACGCACAUUGCGCCCGCCAGUAUUCUGGCGGGCAUGCCUGUUCGAGCGUCAUUUCAACCAUCAAGCCCCCGGCUUGUGUUGGGGACCUGCGGCUGCCGCAGGCCCUGAAAAGCAGUGGCGGGCUCGCUGUCACACCGAGCGUAGUAGCAUACAUCUCGCUCUGGGCGUGCUCCGGGUUCCGGCCGUUAAACCACCUUCAUAACCCAAGGUUGACCUCGGAUCAGGUAGGAAGACCCGCUGAACUUAAGCAUAUCAAUAAGCGGAGGA
rnacentral:misc_RNA from 1 species